rnacentral:rRNA from 1 species
AGUGAACGCUGGCGGUAGGCCUAACACAUGCAAGUCGAACGGCAGCACAGUAAGAGCUUGCUCUUACGGGUGGCGAGUGGCGGACGGGUGAGGAAUACAUCGGAAUCUACUUUUUCGUGGGGGAUAACGUAGGGAAACUUACGCUAAUACCGCAUACGACCUACGGGUGAAAGCAGGGGAUCUUCGGACCUUGCGCGAUUGAAUGAGCCGAUGUCGGAUUAGCUAGUUGGCGGGGUAAAGGCCCACCAAGGCGACGAUCCGUAGCUGGUCUGAGAGGAUGAUCAGCCACACUGGAACUGAGACACGGUCCAGACUCCUACGGGAGGCAGCAGUGGGGAAUAUUGGACAAUGGGCGCAAGCCUGAUCCAGCCAUACCGCGUGGAUGAAGAAGGCCUUCGGGUUGUAAAGCCCUUUUGUUGGGAAAGAAAGGCAGCAGGUUAAUACCCCGCUGUUCUGACGGUACCCAAAGAAUAAGCACCGGCUAACUUCGUG